UACGAAGGGGGCUAGCGUUGUUCGGAAUUACUGGGCGUAAAGCGCGCGCAGGCGGUCCUUCAAGUCAGAGGUGAAAGUCCAGAGCUCAACUCUGGAACGGCCUUUGAGACUAGAGGACUUGGGUACGGGAGAGGUGAGUGGAAUUCCGAGUGUAGAGGUGAAAUUCGUAGAUAUUCGGAAGAACACCAGUGGCGAAGGCGGCUCACUGGCCCGUUACCGACGCUCAGGCGCGACAGCGUGGGGAGCAAACAGG
rnacentral:rRNA from 1 species